UACGUAGGGUGCGAGCGUUACUCGGAAUUACUGGGCGUAAAGCGUGCGCAGGCGGCUUUGCAAGACAGAUGUGAAAUCCCCGGGCUUAACCUGGGAACUGCAUUUGUGACUGCAUGGCUGGAGUGCGGGAGAGGGGGAUGGAAUUCCGCGUGUAGCAGUGAAAUGCGUAGAUAUGCGGAGGAACACCGAUGGCGAAGGCAAUCCCCUGGGCCUGCACUGACGCUCAUGCACGAAAGCGUGGGGAGCAAACGGG
rnacentral:rRNA from 1 species